rnacentral:rRNA from 1 species
CGCAGCCGCGGUAAUUCCAGCUCCAAUAGCGUAUAUUAAAGCUGCUGCAGUUAAAAAGCUCGUAGUUGAAUUUCGGGACUAAUAUGUUGGUCGUGCCUCGGUACGUACUGGUAUUUUUGGUUUCUCCCUUCUGACGAACCUUGAUGUCAUUAAUUUGGUGUCUUGGGAAAUCAGGACUGUUACUUUGAAAAAUUAGAGUGUUUAAAGCAGGCUCACGCUUGAAUACAUUAGCAUGGAAUAAUGAAAUAGGACAUUUGAUUCUAUUUUGUUGGUUUCUAGGAUCGACGUAAUGAUUAAUAGGGAUAGUUGGGGGCAUUAGUAUUCAAUUGUCAGAGGUGAAAUUCUUGAAUUUAUUGAAGACUAACUACUGCGAAAGCAUUUGUCAAGGAUGUUUUCAUUAAUCAAAACGAAAGUUAGGAGAUCGAAGACGAUCAGAUACCGUCGUAGUCU